rnacentral:lncRNA from 1 species
AUCAGGGUUCAUCUUGGUUUUGAACACCCACUUGACCCCAAUCACAUGCUUAUCAACUGGUCUGUCAACUAGUUCCCAAGUCUCAUUCUUUUCAAUCAUAUUUAGUUCUUCCUUCAUUGCUGCCAACCAGUCCUGUGAACUCACAGCAUCAACAAAAUUCGAUGGCUCCAGUAUGGCAAAGUUACAUCUAGCAUAUACAUCAGCAAGGGGUCUUGUCUUUAGCACAAUAUUUUCUGUGUCUGAGUCACCAUCCUGAUCUGGACCAACUAGUUCCUCUCCCUUUGUGAUAGUGUCCUCAAUUUCAUGAGCAACCAGCCUUGGAACUUGCUGGUUUUCCAGGCUUCUUGUAUCCCAAUUUCAGGUAGCACUUUCAUCAAUUUUAAUAUCUCUGCUGGAUAUUAUCUUCUUGGUUUGUGGAUUAUAAACUCGAUAUCCUUUUGCAUUACUACAAUAGCCAACUAAAACACCAAUCUCAGCUUUUUGGCUAAGCUUAUCCCUCUUUGCUUCAGGUAUAUGAGUAUAACAAACACUUGCAAAAACCUUCAAAUGUGCCACAUCUAGUUUUGUUCCAUACCAGGCUUCAUAGGGAGUUUUUCUUUCCAAUGCUUUAGUAGGAAGUCGGUUUAAAGAUACACAGCUGUGCUAAUAGCUUCUGCUCAGAAUUCUUUGGGAAAAUUCUUUUCAAACAUGAGACAUCUUGUCAUCUCCAUGACUGUUCUGUUCUUCCUCUCACAGAUGCCAUUUUGCUGAGGUGAGUAUGGGAUUGUGAGCUGAUGUUUUAUCCCCAUAUCAUCACAAAAAUUAUCAAAGUGGUUGCAUUUAUACUCAAUUCCAUUAUCAGUCCUAAUAGCCUUUAUCUUGCUGUCACAUUCAUUUUCCACUUUUUUUUGAAUUUUUGAAAUACAGCAGCCAUAUCUGAUUUCAGUUUUAGAAAAAACACCAAACACAUUCUGGUUGAAUCAUCAAUAAAGAGUAUGAAGUACUUGCUGCCAUUAAUUGUCUGUGUGUUCAUUGGACCAGACACGUCAGAAUGUAUCAAUUCCAAUUUAUUCAUAGCUCUCCUUGACAGAUUUUUAGGAAAUGGCAUUCUGUUCAGUUUGCCCUUUUGACACACCUCACAUAUACAUGUUUCAUCACCUACAUCUGGAAUGUUUUCAACAAGUUCUAGAUUGUACAAUUGCUUCAAUGAUGUGUAAUUAACAUGACCAAAUCGUUUGUGCCAUAAAGAGGAAUCAACCACAGUGCAAGAAAAUGCCUGAUUUUUCACAUUUUUCCAUUCCAAUGGAAAGCUUUUUUGUUUCAUUUUGACAGACAUUAGCUCCUGAUUUUUUUGAAUCAGAUAUGGUACAGCCAUCUCCUUUGAAGAUCAAUGUAUAUUGCUUCUAAAUUAAUUGACCAACACUAAUUAAAUUCUG